AUGCCUCAACGAUCGAUUAGUGAAAAUCAAUGGGCAUUGGUGACGAAUCAAAAUCAAAGCAUUCAAAAUCUAUUGAUAAGUGAAAGCGAAACAGGAAAUGGUUGCAAGGCAGUAACAAUCGUCCACCAAAGCUGAACCACAUGAACGAUUUUCCGUCAUGGAAAGGCCGCUUUCACACAUAUGUUCAAGGACAAAGCACCGACCUUUGGAUGUGUUUUGUCAAUGCAUUCAAUGAAAGUCUUGAAAGUAGAGCAUCCACUUCAGAAGGUUACGCCAACAUGCUUGAAAAUGACAAGAAGGCUUAUGAAUUGGAGAAAAAGGCCUAUGCCAUACUUACUCAAGCACUCAACAAAGACAUCUACCAUCAGUUUUCAUAUUGCAAGACCACGAAAGCAUUGUGGGAUGCCUUAGUUGCUAGAGGAGAAGGCAAUGCAGCUGCUCGAAAGUCUAGGCAUGAUUUGUUGAAGAAAGAAUUUGAAUCUU
rnacentral:lncRNA from 1 species